rnacentral:lncRNA from 1 species
UGGUACUCUAUGAUUUCAAAAAAGAAGUCAGAAGCAGAUUUCUCAUCAUAGCCCCCCACCCUGACCAAAAGUAACAGAAGGUAGAUCUCUGCUGUUCUCCCCUUCACUCUUAGUCCAGCAAAAGAAAAAGGAUGAAAGAAUGCACAGAACACAAAUCCUACAAAAUUUUACCAAAGCACAUAUGACAUAAAAAUAACCUUCCUCUCACAUUUUUUAAGUGCAUCAAAAAGAAGGUUCACAGUAAUAAUAUCAAGAAUUGAGGCAAUGUUUAGAAGUUAUAAUAGUAAGAGCUCUAGAAAUAGAUGUAUCUUUCCCAUAAAAAUGUGUUAAUUAUUUCUCCAGUUCUUCAGCUUUGUGUCCCUGGUGCCGUCAGCCUCAGCACCUGAUGGACUCUGCUUGGGCUGAGCAAUGAAUUUGAGUCUGAACUUGCAGAUCACCAGCAAUGUGAUUUCUCCCUUAAGCAUCCCCCUCCAACUCAGAGUGAAAGCCAAAGUCCCUUCUGUGGCCUAAGGAUCUAGACUAUCUUAUCAUUAUCUAACAUAUAUUUUACUUGUGCAUUUUGUUUGCUAUUUAUCUGCCUUUGCUAAAACCUAAACUCUUUCAUGGCAGGGAUUUUUGUCUGCUUGUUCAUUGCUAUUAUCCCAGUUCCACACAGUGACUGGUCCAUGGUAUGUGCCCACUAAGUACUAUUGGGUUAUUGGAGACCCGAGGAGGAGGAGAGGGAAGAAAUGUGGGGGCAUUUGACAAGAAAAUGAUAGAUUCUGCUUUGGGAGAGCGUCUCUGGAAACUUCUUGACUCACUUCUGAGAUUAAGCAGCCACAAGCAGCUCUUUAUCUUCUAAUUUUGCCUAAGACAUCCACACAGCCCACAAUGGGCAUCCCCUCCCCUGCGUUAAUCAUUGUUUCCCGUCUCUCUUCUGCAUUUUAAACUAAAGCAGAGGGUAGGAAGGCAGAUGAGCUGAGCAUCUGGGCUAGAUAGGAACCUAUAGUACAGCCCUGCACCAGCUGAUGCCAAUAACUUUUUCUUUGCUCUAUAUCUUUUGUCUCAUAACUUCCUAAACAUCAUCAGUCAUCAGUUAUCUUCGCUGCAGUAAAAUAUGUAUGUGUUUCUUUGUAUUGCAGUCCUAGGUGCUCUGUUAUGGUAGGAAUCAAUAAGAUGUCUCCUGUUCUUAUCAAAAAAAAAAAAAAAAAAAAA